UUAAAACAUCAGGUCCCAUACGAUCACCGAUGUUAAGUAACACCGAGCCUGGUCAAUACUUAGAUGGGUGACCACUUGAGAAUACUGGGUGCUGUAAU